UGGGGAAUUUUGGACAAUGGGGGAAACCCUGAUCCAGCCAUCCCGCGUGUGCGAUGAAGGCCUUCGGGUUGUAAAGCACUUUUGGCAGGAAAGAAACGUCGUGGGUUAAUACCCCCGCGAAACUGACGGUACCUGCAGAAUAAGCACCGGCUAACUACGUGCCAGCAGCCGCGGUAAUACGUAGGGUGCAAGCGUUAAUCGGAAUUACUGGGCGUAAAGCGUGCGCAGGCGGUUCGGAAAGAAAGAUGUGAAAUCCCAGAGCUUAACUUUGGAACUGCAUUUUUUAACUACCGGGCUAGAGUGUGUCAGAGGGAGGUGGAAUUCCGCGUGUAGCAGUGAAAUGCGUAGAUAUGCGGAGGAACACCGAUGGCGAAGGCAGCCUCCUGGGAUAACACUGACGCUCAUGCACGAAAGCGUGGGGAGCAAACAGGAUUAGAUACCCUGGUAGUCCACGCCCUAAACGAUGUCAACUAGCUGUUGGGGUCUUCGGACCUUGGUAGCGCAGCUAACGCGUGAAG
rnacentral:rRNA from 1 species